AUGGACCCGGUCCAACAAUGCUCAUUAUCCAUCAAAUUAGGGCAUCAAUUUGGGAUGUUCAACUUGUACACACAAAAUCCUUCUUCUUCCAAUAACAUUGACAAGCCGCAAACGACGGCCUCCUCCCAAAUGUCACUGUCUCUGAUACCCCUCUCAUCUUCUCCGAUCAAUUCUCCGCCGCCGUGGAUAACACAUUGA